rnacentral:rRNA from 1 species
GACAGAGGGUGCAAACGUUGCUCGGAAUCACUGGGCGUAAAGGGCGUGUAGGCGGGUAGAUAAGUCGGGCGUGAAAUCCCUAGGCUCAACCUAGGAACUGCACUCGAAACUGUUUAUCUUGAGUGCCGGAGAGGAAAGCGGAAUUCCUGGUGUAGAGGUGAAAUUCGUAGAUAUCAGGAGGAACACCAGUGGCGAAGGGCGGACUUUCUGGGACGGUAACUGAC